rnacentral:rRNA from 1 species
CGUAGGUGGCAAGCGUUGUCCGGAAUUAUUGGGCGUAAAGCGCGCGCAGGCGGUCCUUUAAGUCUGAUGUGAAAGCCCACGGCUCAACCGUGGAGGGUCAUUGGAAACUGGGGGACUUGAGUACAGAAGAGAAGAGUGGAAUCCCACGUGUAGCGGUGAAAUGCGUAGAGAUGUGGAGGAACACCAGUGGCGAAGGCGACUCUUUGGUCUGUAACUGACGCUGAGGCGCGAAAGCGUGGGGAGCAAACAGGAUUAGAUACCCUGGUAGUCCACGCUGUAAACGAUGAGUGCUAAGUGUUAGAGGGUUUCCGCCCUUUAGUGCUGCAGCUAACGCAUUAAGCACUCCGCCGUGGGGGUACGGCCGCAAGGCUG